GAUUAAGUUAUUAAGGGCGCACGGUGGAUGCCUUGGCACUAGAAGCCGAUGAAGGACGUUACUAACGACGAUAUGCUUUGGGGAGCUGUAAGUAAGCUUUGAUCCAGAGAUUUCCGAAUGGGGAAACCCAGCAUGAGUUAUGUCAUGUUAUCGAUAUGUGAAUACAUAGCAUAUCAGAAGGCACACCCGGAGAACUGAAACAUCUUAGUACCCGGAGGAAGAAAAAGAAAAUUCGAUUCCCUUAGUAGCGGCGAGCGAAACGGGAAGAGCCCAAACCAACAAGCUUGCUUGUUGGGGUUGUAGGACACUCUAUACGGAGUUACAAAGGACGACAUUAGACGAAUCAUCUGGAAAGAUGAAUCAAAGAAGGUAAUAAUCCUGUAGUCGAAAAUGUUGUCUCUCUUGAGUGGAUCCUGAGUACGACGGAACACGUGAAAUUCCGUCGGAAUCUGGGAGGACCAUCUCCUAAGGCUAAAUACUCUCUAGUGACCGAUAGUGAACCAGUACCGUGAGGGAAAGGUGAAAAGCACCCCGGAAGGGGAGUGAAAUAGAACCUGAAACCGUGUGCUUACAAGUAGUCAGAGCCCGUUAAUGGGUGAUGGCGUGCCUUUUGUAGAAUGAACCGGCGAGUUACGAUUUGAUGCAAGGUUAAGCAGUAAAUGUGGAGCCGUAGCGAAAGCGAGUCUGAAUAGGGCGUUUAGUAUUUGGUCGUAGACCCGAAACCAGGUGAUCUACCCUUGGUCAGGUUGAAGUUCAGGUAACACUGAAUGGAGGACCGAACCGACUUACGUUGAAAAGUGAGCGGAUGAACUGAGGGUAGCGGAGAAAUUCCAAUCGAACCUGGAGAUAGCUGGUUCUCUCCGAAAUAGCUUUAGGGCUAGCCUCAAGUGAUGAUUAUUGGAGGUAGAGCACUGUUUGGACGAGGGGCCCCUCUCGGGUUACCGAAUUCAGACAAACUCCGAAUGCCAAUUAAUUUAACUUGGGAGUCAGAACAUGGGUGAUAAGGUCCGUGUUCGAAAGGGAAACAGCCCAGACCACCAGCUAAGGUCCCAAAAUAUAUGUUAAGUGGAAAAGGAUGUGGCGUUGCCCAGACAACUAGGAUGUUGGCUUAGAAGCAGCCAUCAUUUAAAGAGUGCGUAAUAGCUCACUAGUCGAGUGACACUGCGCCGAAAAUGUACCGGGGCUAAACAUAUUACCGAAGCUGUGGAUUGUCCUUUGGACAAUGGUAGGAGAGCGUUCUAAGGGCGUUGAAGCAUGAUCGUAAGGACAUGUGGAGCGCUUAGAAGUGAGAAUGCCGGUGUGAGUAGCGAAAGACGGGUGAGAAUCCCGUCCACCGAUUGACUAAGGUUUCCAGAGGAAGGCUCGUCCGCUCUGGGUUAGUCGGGUCCUAAGCUGAGGCCGACAGGCGUAGGCGAUGGAUAACAGGUUGAUAUUCCUGUACCACCUAUAAUCGUUUUAAUCGAUGGGGGGACGCAGUAGGAUAGGCGAAGCGUGCGAUUGGAUUGCACGUCUAAGCAGUAAGGCUGAGUAUUAGGCAAAUCCGGUACUCGUUAAGGCUGAGCUGUGAUGGGGAGAAGACAUUG
rnacentral:rRNA from 1 species